GUGAGGAGUUCGGACUCCGGACCGGCAUUUGUUUGUACCCUGAGGUAAGUAAACUUUACAUUUUUGAAACGAUAUUACUGAAACAUUUAGUAUAAUUAAUUAAUAUUUAUUUUGUUAGAGUAUGUGUUGUGCUAAAUAGUGAUACUAGAAGCUACAUUUAUAAUAUUUACCUCAGGUAAAAAAUACUGCUGGUAACGUUGAAGCACUUGACGGGCUUCGUCAACCGUCAGUUAUAAAAGCUCUGUUAAAUACAUUUUGUUCCGGGUUUUAAUGAAUUACGUUACAGUCCUGCUUUAUUUCUUUGUCAUUUUAAAUUAAAUUGCCAAUCAGAAUAAGACAGCUGUGUUGUAAGGAGACGAAAUUCGAGACAGUCAUUUCAGUGAAGCGCGUGGUCAAAGGAACCGGGUGGAAGACGGUAGAAGGGAAAUUAUAUGUAACAGUUAGUUAAAUGUUUGUCGCAGUUUUACACAUAUUCCGUGAGUAUUUUUCGCUUGUUCACGAGUGUUUUAUCAGGGUUGGAGCUAAACUCGGAAGGAAAGUGGAAACUGCUGGCCAAAGUUGAGAACAUUCCGCCGGUCUGUAUUAUAAAUGCACGAUUGCAGUGCAGCGUUUGUAUCCGCAACAAGUCUAACGUUAGAUAUGCAUGUUUUCUGUGAUGCACACAAAUAAUUAAUGUGAUGGUAGCUGUUAAGACACUUACAUUUAACAUUCAAAUGUUUUAAAAACCAAACGUGUUCAUGUUUUUAUGUGUAUUUGGUUUGUGAAGUGUAAUUUAUGCUUUUUUCCUCUCCCCCACAGAUAACCAUGGUUAAUAAAUGAUCAGACACGUCACUGGCUUUAAAAUAUAAACCCCAUUGAUGCAAAAAGAUGCUGCAUGGAAUGACAAUGAGGUUUGGAACAGACUUGGUGAAGAACAUGGAAACGUCUCUAAAUAAAAUGGCCCCAAACAUCAUCAGGAGUGCAAAAGAAGGAAGUAAAAAACAUCUCUACGCCAAUCUCAUUGGAGAGGAAACCACAGAAGGUCUGGUGAGGAAUGCUGCACUUAUGUUAUUGCCAGCAUUAUUUCAAGAAAAUCCCAGCUUCCUUGACUGUGUAAAUAGUGAACCCAAAGGUCCCACACCAACCAUAGUGUUCAACGGCUCUCCUGAUCUUCUCAAAUCUGAAAGUCGGAGAAGCGGACCGCCCCUGUCGCGGAUCACGCUCCUCCUAGUUCCACCUCGAGGAGGUCCCAAAGCACCCCAAUGACCAGACAAACCAGAGAUAAGUAAAAUAUAAAAAUAGAAACUUUAUUUAAAUUAUUUAAAACUAAAGUGGGGAAUGGGAAUCUAAAAAUCUCGCUUCUCGCCCUCAGGGGGAGUAUUACGGGGCCAGGGACGUUGGAGGGGUUUCCACGUGACUCCAGCUGGAACACCGCUAGAGAGCGUAUCUGGGUGGGUUGGGCACACACCGUCGCGGCGGCCCCUGAUGGCAUCCACAAAGGUCCAAGACCCUCCUAAGCUCCCAGCCGUAGCAGAACUACGUAUUUCAGCACCCGAACGACUAACAACCCAGCCGGCAUCUGCAGCGUAUAUCCAACGCGAUCAAACUUCACUCUGACAAGUAACUUGCUAUACACAACCACGCCGUCCUUUCGCCCGGACCAGCCCCGCACUCUUUCCGCCCGCUACCUAGCGGUCGCCGGAUCAGCAGAGCCUGCGGACUCUUCGGACUCUGCGACCCUUACAGUAACUUCUACCUUCUCUCUUUAUAUCCUCCUCCAUGGCGUGGCUCGCCCAACCAUCGCUCGCCAUGUCACUCACACAGCUGUGCCUUGUUUCAGUGAGUGCGGGGAUUCCCGGGGAACCCGGAAGUGCCGGUGUCUGUACAAACCGGUCCGGGCGGAACCUCUUCACUCUCCUUUUGGUUCCGCCCCGCAUAGUCACUCCGUGACAACUGUUUGCGUUUUUUUUUCUCCUCAAUGUUCAAUACCCUUUUGCCAUUAAGCACACAGUGACAUUAAUUUAUAAAAUAUAUGCUUAAGUUUUAAUACCUGUACAAAACAAAUGUACAAUCAACUUGUGUAAAUUGUCAUUUUAUUUAAUAGAUUGUUCAUGAAUUGU